GACAGAGGUCCCGAGCGUUAGGCGGAAUCACUGGGCUUAAAGCGUGUGUAGGCGGACGGGUAAGUACCUUGUGAAAUCCCACGGCUCAACCGUGGAACUGCUUGGUAUACUGCCUGUCUUGAGCCAGCUAGGGGCAACCGGAACAAAUGGUGGAGCGGUGAAAUGCGUAGAUAUCAGGAAGAACACCAAUGGCGAAAGCAGCUCUCUGGGACGGUACUGACGCUGAGACGCGAAAGCGUGGGGAGCGAACAGG
rnacentral:rRNA from 1 species